rnacentral:rRNA from 1 species
GACGAACGCUGGCGGCGUGCUUAACACAUGCAAGUCGAGCGGAAAGGCCCUUCGGGGUACUCGAGCGGCGAACGGGUGAGUAACACGUGAGUAACCUGCCCCAGACUUUGGGAUAACCCUCGGAAACGGGGGCUAAUACCGGAUACGACACAGCUUCGCAUGGGGUCUGUGUGGAAAGUUUUUCGGUUUGGGAUGGGCUCGCGGCCUAUCAGCUUGUUGGUGGGGUGAUGGCCUACCAAGGCGACGACGGGUAGCCGGCCUGAGAGGGCGACCGGCCACACUGGGACUGAGACACGGCCCAGACUCCUACGGGAGGCAGCAGUGGGGAAUAUUGCACAGUGGGCGGAAGCCUGAUGCAGCGACGCCGCGUGAGGGAUGACGGCCUUCGGGUUGUAAACCUCUUUCAGCAGGGACGAAGCGUAAGUGACGGUACCUGCAGAAGAAGCGCCGGCCAACUACGUG